UUCACUAAUACACGCACAUUUUUUAUGUCAGAGCUGACGAAAAAAUGACACUCAAAUGAUUAUCAAUGCUUAUGUUAAAAAGAGAAACCUAUGAAUGAUAUUGCUUAUAUAUGUAAGAAUGAAAUAGCUUAAUUAUUCAACGCUGUCAUCAUUGACAGUAAAAUGAAAUUUAAAAUGACUGUCAAUGUUGAUUUUUUUUUCAAUAAACACUUUUCAACCCUAAACAUCGUUUAUCAACACUGAUCUGUAUGCAGAAAAGCAACCCUGUAAAAAGAGAUACAUACAAUUCCAUAUAUGUACGUUUAUAAAAUGUUGCGCGUUAAUUCAGUGAAUUCUAAAUCGAAUUAUUAUAUUUCGUGCGUUGUUUAAGUGAUUUAUGUUUUGUGAUUAAAUCUACAGUUUACUAUAUUAUCAAGAAAAGAUAAAUAAAAAUGAAAAAAACGCCAUUUCAAAAAAUGUAAGGUGCAUUUAAAAAAAAAUUGAGCGAUCGGGGUGCCUCAUGACCGUGAGGAAAAAGACGAGGCUCUCGACCAGGUAGCAAGCCUUUUACCUAUUCAAAACUUUGAGGGAUGUUUGGAAGUGGAAGAAAUGUUAGAGAAACCUGAGUUCGCACAAUCUAUGAUCAGUUAUGUCCACAAACUUAAAGGGACAUCGGACAAUAUUGAAAACUCUUUCAAAUAUAUAUUUGCAGACAGCCUACUAGAGUAUUUCAAUUUUGAUGGAAGAGGAGAAAAACAAGCAUUAUGUAAGCUAAAAAUCUUCGAAGAAGUUUUAAGAGUCGUUUACCAGCCACAAGGAUCUUUCAAUUUGGAAAAGAGUAUACGGAGGUCUAUUGAACGGGGUCACCACCGAAAUAACCAAAAAAAAUAUAUUAAUAGGAAAGGAAACAAUUAAUAUAAUUUUUCAAUAAUUUAAUUUUAUUACCAUUAUGAUUUUGAAACAUGAAUUAUAUGAUUUAAAAUUAAUG